UCUCAUGGAUGAGCAAAGAAGUUGGUUUCCUGAGAUGGAAUCUACUCCUGGUAAAGAUGCUGUGAA
rnacentral:pre_miRNA from 3 species